rnacentral:rRNA from 1 species
UACGAAGGGGGCUAGCGUUGCUCGGAAUCACUGGGCGUAAAGCGCACGUAGGCGGAUUUUUAAGUCAGGGGUGAAAUCCUGGAGCUCAACUCCAGAACUGCCUUUGAUACUGGGAAGCUUGAGUCCGGGAGAGGUGAGUGGAACUCCGAGUGUAGAGGUGAAAUUCGUAGAUAUUCGGAAGAACACCAGUGGCGAAGGCGGCUCACUGGCCCGGUACUGACGCUGAGGUGCGAAAGCGUGGGGAGCAAACAGG